rnacentral:rRNA from 1 species
UACGUAGGGUGCAAGCGUUAUUCGGAUUCACUGGGCGUAAAGGGUGCGCAGGCGGCCAAGUGUGUGAGGCGUGAAAGCCCGGGGCUUAACCCCGGAAUUGCACCUCAAACUACAUGGCUAGAGCAUUGGAGAGGGUAGCGGAAUUCACGGUGUAGCAGUGAAAUGCGUAGAUAUCGUGAGGAACACCAGAGGCGAAGGCGGCUACCUGGACAAUUGCUGACGCUCAGGCACGAAAGCGUGGGGAGCAAAAGGG